rnacentral:rRNA from 1 species
AUUGAACGCUGGCGGCAGGCCUAACACAUGCAAGUCGAGCGGAUGAUGGGAGCUUGCUCCCGGAUUCAGCGGCGGACGGGUGAGUAAUGCCUAGGAAUCUGCUGGUAGUGGGGGACAACGUCUCGAAAGGGACGCUAAUACCGCAUACGUCCUACGGGAGAAAGCAGGGGACCUUCGGGCCUUGCGCUAUCAGAUGAGCCUAGGUCGGAUUAGCUAGUUGGUGAGGUAAUGGCUCACCAAGGCGACGAUCCGUAACUGGUCUGAGAGGAUGAUCAGUCACACUGGAACUGAGACACGGUCCAGACUCCUACGGGAGGCAGCAGUGGGGAAUAUUGGACUAUGGGCGAAAGCCUGAUCCAGCCAUGCCGCGUGUGUGAAGAAGGUCUUCGGAUUGUAAAGCACUUUAAGUUGGGAGGAAGGGUUGUACGUUAAUACCGUGCAAUUUUGACGUUACCGACAGAAUAAGCACCGGCUAACUCUGUGCCAGCAGCCGCCGUAAUAC